rnacentral:sRNA from 1 species
UACGUACUGGGAAGGCACAUAAAUGGGUC